AGAUCAUGAAUCAUCUCAAAGGAACUGGCAGGGGGGAUGGGCAGGUGAGGAGGACAGAGGAGCAGUCCUCCAAAGGACAGUUCCUCUUGCUUGCCCCCACCUCCACCACACUUAGAUGCCAGGACUCACAGGCCAGCAUUGCACACAGACAACCCGGCAGCACCACAAGGAGCAAAGAAACUGAAAAGAAUGAGCUCCUCAAAGAGGAUGUAGACGGACUGAACUCCUUUAAUCAAUGGAAUCCUGCCACGAGUGUGUUGUUCCAGAGACAAAGACAGACCCCUGUUUAUGUCUUUCCACAAGUAGAUGGUUGGAAAGAUGCAUGAAUCACUCACUGGAUGAACCCUUCAGUUGUGAAAUACAGAGAGGAACUCUUCAAUGAAAAGAAGGAACAUCAGGCUGAAAAGCAGCUCAAUCUCGAUUUCAGGUGUGGACUGAUGGCACAGCGUCCUCUUGCAGAGGACCCAGGUUCGGUUCACAGCACCCACAUAUCUCCUAAUAGUCAUUCAUAACUCCAGUUCCAGGGGAUCCAACGCCUUCUUCUGACUU